rnacentral:snoRNA from 1 species
GUUCCAGUGAUGUCCAAUGUUUAUUUGGAAUUACCGUCCGAAGAUAAAUGAGGAUAAAAAUAGGCUGUUUUUCCUGAGGAACUCU